CACUAGCCCUGAUAGAAGCGGUAUCCUUUUUUUGGCUUUUUCGGCCAAAAAAGAUAUAGCGGAUAGCAGGAUUAGCU
rnacentral:sRNA from 1 species